rnacentral:rRNA from 1 species
GAUGAACGCUGGCGGCGUGCUAAACACAUGCAAGUCGAACGAUGAAAGCGGGAGCUUGCUCCUGCUGGAUUAGUGGCGAACGGGUGAGUAACACGUGAGCAAUCUGCCCCGAACUCUGGGAUAAGCGUUGGAAACGACGUCUAAUACCGGAUACGACGCGCGAAGGCAUCUUCUGCGCGUGGAAAGAAUUUCGGUUCGGGAUGAGCUCGCGGCCUAUCAGCUAGUUGGUGAGGUAACGGCUCACCAAGGCGACGACGGGUAGCCGGCCUGAGAGGGUGACCGGCCACACUGGGACUGAGACACGGCCCAGACUCCUACGGGAGGCAGCAGUGGGGAAUAUUGCACAAUGGGCGAAAGCCUGAUGCAGCAACGCCGCGUGAGGGACGACGGCCUUCGGGUUGUAAACCUCUUUUAGCAGGGAAGAAGCGAAAGUGACGGUACCUGCAGAAAAAGCACCGGCUAACUACGUGCCAGCCGCCGCCGUAACAC